UACAUGGGGUGCAACCGUUGCUCGGAAUUAGUGGGCGUAAAGCGCGCGUAGGCGGUUACUUAAGUCGGAUGUGAAAGCCCUCGGCUUAACUGAGGAAGUGCACCCGAAACUGAGUAGCUAGAGUACGAAAGAGGGUCGCGGAAUUCCCGGUGUAGAGGUGAAAUUCGUAGAUAUCGGGAGGAACACCGGUGGCGAAGGCGGCGACCUGGGUCGAGACUGACGCUGAGGCGCGAAAGCGUGGGGAGCAAACAGG
rnacentral:rRNA from 1 species